rnacentral:rRNA from 1 species
UAUGAACGCUAGCUACAGGCUUAACACAUGCAAGUCGAGGGGCAGCAUGGUCUUAGCUUGCUAAGGCCGAUGGCGACCGGCGCACGGGUGAGUAACACGUAUCCAACCUGCCGUCUACUCUUGGACAGCCUUCUGAAAGGAAGAUUAAUACAAGAUGGCAUCAUGAGUCCACAUGUUCACAUGAUUAAAGGUAUUCCGGUAGACGAUGGGGAUGCGUUCCAUUAGAUAGUAGGCGGGGUAACGGCCCACCUAGUCUUCGAUGGAUAGGGGUUCUGAGAGGAAGGUCCCCCACAUUGGAACUGAGACACGGUCCAAACUCCUACGGGAGGCAGCAGUGAGGAAUAUUGGUCAAUGGGCGAGAGCCUGAACCAGCCAAGUAGCGUGAAGGAUGACUGCCCUAUGGGUUGUAAACUUCUUUUAUAAAGGAAUAAAGUCGGGUAUGGAUACCCGUUUGCAUGUACUUUAUGAAUAAGGAUCGGCUAACUCCGUGCCAGCAGCCGCGGUAAUACGGAGGAUCCGAGCGUUAUCCGGAUUUAUUGGGUUUAAAGGGAGCGUAGAUGGAUGUUUAAGUCAGUUGUGAAAGUUUGCGGCUCAACCGUAAAAUUGCAGUUGAUACUGGAUAUCUUGAGUGCAGUUGAGGCAGGCGGAAUUCGUGGUGUAGCGGUGAAAUGCUUAGAUAUCACGAAGAACUCCGAUUGCGAAGGCAGCCUGCUAAGCUGCAACUGACAUUGAGGCUCGAAAGUGUGGGUAUCAAACAGGAUUAGAUACCCUGGUAGUCCACACGGUAAACGAUGAAUACUCGCUGUUUGCGAUAUACGGCAAGCGGCCAAGCGAAAGCGUUAAGUAUUCCACCUGGGGAGUACGCCGGCAACGGUGAAACUCAAAGGAAUUGACGGGGGCCCGCACAAGCGGAGGAACAUGUGGUUUAAUUCGAUGAUACGCGAGGAACCUUACCCGGGCUUAAAUUGCAGAUGAAUUACGGUGAAAGCCGUAAGCCGCAAGGCAUCUGUGAAGGUGCUGCAUGGUUGUCGUCAGCUCGUGCCGUGAGGUGUCGGCUUAAGUGCCAUAACGAGCGCAACCCUUGUUGUCAGUUACUAACAGGUUCUGCUGAGGACUCUGACAAGACUGCCAUCGUAAGAUGUGAGGAAGGUGGGGAUGACGUCAAAUCAGCACGGCCCUUACGUCCGGGGCUACACACGUGUUACAAUGGGGGGUACAGAGGGCCGCUACCACGCGAGUGGAUGCCAAUCCCAAAAACCUCUCUCAGUUCGGACUGGAGUCUGCAACCCGACUCCACGAAGCUGGAUUCGCUAGUAAUCGCGCAUCAGCCACGGCGCGGUGAAUACGUUCCCGGGCCUUGUACACACCGCCCGUCAAGCCAUGGGAGCCGGGGGUACCUGAAGUGCGUAACCGCGAGGAGCGCCCUAGGGUAAAACUGG